rnacentral:lncRNA from 1 species
GGGCUCUUAACUUUUCAUGACUCAGUUGUUUCUGUCGCUCAUUUGCUGCUCUGUGCUGGGCAAGGCAGGGCACAGGCAGGUGAGUCCUUGAGGGCCUGAGUCUCUAGACUGUUCCAGUGUUUCCUCAUCUGUAGUGCAGCAUCCUCAUGGCUAUUGUGGAAGCUGUGACGGCACUGAGAGCCGUGCAGAAGCCCUGGCUGUCUUGGCCUCUGGGGUCCUUACUGGGUCACCUUAUUCUGUUUGCCUUAAGGUCCUGGUUCCUGCUGACACUCCAUGUCAAGGUCAGUAUUUAAAGCAAAUUUAUCUAACAUCACUUCUGCAGUGUUCUGGUUCUUUACACACAUACUCAGUUUUCUCCAGACUUCUAUUUUCUUCCUUCUCAGAGUCUGAUUCUUUUUCCCAGCUAUCACGGCCCUGGGCCUCACCAGUCCACUUGACAUGCCUGGAACUUCAAAGACCAGGAUCCGAGUCCCAGUCUGCUUUCAACCAGCAUUCCUGUGAGACCCAUUUGUUUUGGUCUGCAACUUGCUUGUGGUUUUUAUCCAGCCAGGAUGAGCUCCUGCAAGCAAUGAACCCAAC